rnacentral:lncRNA from 1 species
CAGAUAUGUUAUUCUUUAAGCUCUCAUUUUUACCUAGAAACUCUACUAAAAUUUUCGUUCGAGCACUCCAUUCUUAUUGAGGCAGAGAACUGACUUGAGUGUCGGAGGGUCUUGCCGGAGCAACCCCACCUCCGGUUUAGACUUCUUUUGCAGGUCCCAGCGGCGACCGCGACUCCCUCGACUCCAGCUCCUCCGAUGCAGGUGGAUUUUUGCACCAACAGGAUUGGUGCUAGAGGAAGGGGCUUGAACCUUCGUAGUACCCUUGUUCUUAAAGGAGCGCUCAACGGGACUGCCUCCGGGCAUUUUUUCCAGCAUCCUCUCCUCCUUCCUCCACUAGGUCUUUGCCUGAUGCCUCCCCGCAAGGCAUCCAUGCGAUGAUCCAUGACCUCCACGGCCAGAUCUC